UACGGAAGGCAGCAGUGGGGAAUAUUGCACAAUGGGCGCAAGCCUGAUGCAGCCAUGCCGCGUGUAUGAAGAAGGCCUUCGGGUUGUAAAGUACUUUCAGUCGUGAGGAAGGUGUUAAGGUUAAUAACCUUAGCAAUUGACGUUAGCGACAGAAGAAGCACCGGCUAACUCCGUGCCAGCAGCCGCGGUAAUACGGAGGGUGCGAGCGUUAAUCGGAAUUACUGGGCGUAAAGGGCACGCAGGCGGUUAAUUAAGUUGGAUGUGAAAUCCCCGGGCUUAACCUGGGAAUGGCAUUCAAGACUGGUUAGCUAGAGUCUUGUAGAGGGGGUAGAAUUCCAUGUGUAGCGGUGAAAUGCGUAGAGAGGUGGAGGAAUACCGGUGGCGAAGGCGGGCCCCUGGGACAAAGACUGACGCUCAUGUGCGAAAGCGUGGGGAGCAAACAGGGAUUAGAUACC
rnacentral:rRNA from 1 species